rnacentral:misc_RNA from 1 species
AACGCACAUUGCGCCCUUUGGUAUUCCGAAGGGCAUGCCUGUUCGAGCGUCAUUAUCACCCCUCAAGCCCGGCUUGUUGUUGGAACGCGGCGGCGAAAGCGGCCCUUCCCAAAGAUAAUGACGGCGUCUGUGAGGACUCCUGUACACUGAGCUUUCGGGCACGUACUAGGCUAGAAAUCCAGACCCGGUCUUCAAACACCCUUAUUUUUCAAGGUUGACCUCGGAUCAGGUAGGAAUACCCGCUGAACUUAA